rnacentral:rRNA from 1 species
CCUACGGGUGGCAGCAGUGAGGAAUAUUGGUCAAUGGGCGAGAGCCUGAACCAGCCAAGUCGCGUGAAUGAUGACGGCCCUACGGGUUGUAAACUUCUUUUGUCAGGGAGCAAUUGUGUCCAUGCGUGGGCUUAGCGAGUGUAGCUGAAUAAAAAGCAUCGGCUGACUCCGUGCAAGCAGCCGCGGUAAUACGGAGGAUGCGAGCGUUAUCAGGAUUGAUUGGGUUUAAAGGGUGCGUAGGCGGAAUGUCAAGUCAGCGGUAAAGAUUCGGGGCUAAACCCCGUCGUGCAGUUGAAACUGAUGUUCUUGAGUGGGCGAGAAGUAUGCAGAAUGCGUGGUGUAGCGGUGAAAUGCAUAGAGAUCACGCAGAACUCCGAUUGCGAAGGCAGCAUACCGGCGCCCAACUGACGCUGAAGCACGAAAGCGUGGGUAUCGAACAGGAUUAGAUACCCCAGUAGUC